CUUGCUCUUUGUUCCUAUGUACCCCCUCAGAGUUAACUUUAUUCCCUUUUCUAUAAUAUUUCAAGGGAUAUAAGCAACCAGGAAAAAGCUGAAAAAAGAUUCGGAUUGGAUCACAUGCCUGAAUUUGACCAAUCACAGUACAGUGCACAGAAGGAGUUAAAAUGUCUCUUGAAGCU
rnacentral:lncRNA from 1 species